rfam:Bacillus sp. SA1-12 scf7180000003398, whole genome shotgun sequence.
CUGAAGGAUUAUAUUGAAGAGUCAAAUGAUAGAGUAACGCCUUGAAGGGCUCUCUCUGCGUCGAAUAGCACUUGAUUUAGUAAGAAUGAAAGUGUUAUAAGCUCGGCAUAUAAAUGUCAACCUAAGUAUGUACACUUUUGAUCGUUUAAGUAUGUACAAA